UGCAGGGGGUCAGUGCCGAGUGAUGGGGGUCCUGUAGAGAGGGGUGGAGGUCUCUUCUUGGACCCAGCAUGCAGUUUUAUUCCCAGCACUACCUUGAGGCCUGUGGCCACUCCACAGGGAAGCAAAUUUGACUCUUGGCCCUCACCUACUGGCCCAUGAGACAGUUUAAAGUUUAGAAAAUGGGACCCAAGAAGAAGCAAGCAAAAGUGAAGUAACCCAGCCUGAAACAGCAGAGGGGGAGGAGGAGGAAGAAUUUGAUGAUGGUAGCAGCACUGGAGAGCCCUGCACGGACAGGGAGAUGUAUGCUUUCAAGCUGGCAGAAGGCAAAGCGCCCCGCCAGAGCUAAUGACGCCCAGAAGUGAGGACAUUGCAAUCCCAUCAUCGCUGUCAGGCCAUUGUGCCAUGCUCAGUGAUGAGUACAAGGACAUCCCGACACCCUGUCCCACCAUUCAGCAGGAGCAGGAGCAGGACAGCAGCUCGGAGUCAAAGUGUGUUUCAGUGCUCAGACUGUUGGGCUAUUUAGCUGGGAUUUUUUUACAAUGUAAUAAAAUGCGUU